rnacentral:rRNA from 1 species
AAAACAUCGCCUUUUGAAUAAAUAUAAAAGGUCCAGCCUGCCCAGUGACACUGUUCAACGGCCGCGGUAUCCUAACCGUGCGAAGGUAGCGUAAUCACUUGUUCUUUAAAUAAGGACUAGUAUGAAUGGCACCACGAGGGUUAUACUGUCUCCUUUUUCUAAUCAGUGAAACUAAUCUCCCCGUGAAGAAGCGAGGAUGAAUUUAUAAGACGAGAAGACCCUAUGGAGCUUUAAACUAAAUAACAAUUGCUAUUUCACUUUAUCUUUAUAAACAACUACUAUACUAGCACUCUGAUUAUUAGUUUUAGGUUGGGGCGACCGCGGAGUAAAAACCAACCUCCACACUGAAAGGAUUACUUUCCUUAGCUAAGAGCUACAUCUCUAAACAUCAAAAAACUGACAUUAAUUGACCCAUUUAUUGAUCAACGAACCAAGUUACCCUAGGGAUAACAGCGCAAUCUACUUCAAGAGCUCCUAUCGACAAGUAGGUUUACGACCUCGAUGUUGGAUCAGGGUAUCCCAGUGGUGCAGCCGCUACUAAAGGUUCGUUUGUUCAACGAUUAAAACCCUACGUGAUCU